rnacentral:rRNA from 1 species
CCGUAGCCCAAGAGAUCGGGAUAACACCUGGAAACAGAUGCUAAUACCGGAUAACAACAGAUGAUGCCUAUCAACUGUUUAAAAGAUGGUUCUGCUAUCACUCUUGGAUGGACCUGCGGUGCAUUAGCUAGUUGGUAGGGUAACGGCCUACCAAGGCGAUGAUGCAUGGCCGAGUUGAGAGACUGAUCGGCCACAUUGGGACUGAGACACGGCCCAAACUCCUACGGGAGGCAGCAGCA